rnacentral:tRNA from 1 species
GGAUAUAAUAAACCCCUCCUAAGGGUUAGUUGUGGGUUCGAUUCCCGCAGGGGGUGCCA